CUCGCUCUUCUCUUUCCAUUAUCAAUUGCCAUAUCUAAUGCUCUGUUGGAGCAUUCCUGCCGCCGCCUCCUCCACUUGUGCUGCCUUCACCCAUCACUUUUGCUGCCACCUCCACCCCUCCAUGCUCCACUCGCUGCCCAUUGCAUAACUCAGGUUGAAAUUGUGGGGUUUUAAUUAGUUUCUGUCAGUCUCCUCCUUCCCUUCCAGUGAAGCUACAUUAGAAGAAGUCGUCUUCGGCCCCUCCAAACUUCAUUCGCUUGCUUUGUAGUUCCAGAUCUUCAUCAAGUCAAGAAACCCCAGUUGCAAACAAUAAAUACCGCACUUGUACGGUUUACUCCAGGAUUGACCGAUACUUUAACCAAUACGGCAUGCCUGUGCAAUUUACUCCCUACUAUUCCAGAUUUUUCAGAUAGAAUUAGAGUUUAUAAAGCACUUGGAACUCUGUGCAGAAAGUGCAGAAAGCAUUAUUGCAGUCGGAUGUCCAUGCAAAAUCUGAUAAAAGUCCUGUAACAGUAGCUGUGUAGCACUUGGUGUAUGAUAAAAUUAGCGACGAGGUAUGUUAUAAACGGUAAUGACUUUUACAAAUAAUCCCACGAUUGAAUUUAUUACAGGGUAGUGGAGAGAGGUUUUCUCCAAUUAAAUGAAGCAGAGCCUGGUCUACUUGAACAAGAACUUAAACUAACUGCUUGUAGAGUAACAUCUGUGCAGUGUCUUGUUCUUUAAAGGAGGUGAGAUUAUUGUAUACUUGUUGUAGCAAAUUAGUGACCCCGUCAAAUUUCUUGGAAGGCGCUGAAUAUUAGAUGAGAAUGAUAUUAAGAAGCAAGAGGAAAAGCUAGAGGCAGGUGCUUCAUUUCUUGUGAAAAUGUUUUACAGUCACCCUUACCUGGCAUGGAAACAUUGUGAACUGAUGGCCUGCGUAGGUCUGCAAGGAGGAGGAAAGUGGUGGUGCCUUGGUGUUUCAAUGUUGAAGUUGAUGGCUUGGUUCGUUUGUUUUGUGUUUUUGAAAUCCACAAUUGGUUGAAUUCUUGUCUUACCUUUGAAGCUAGAAAGGACUAUUACAAUUCAAAAGGGCUACCUUUCUCUUUGGCU